CAGACGCAGUUGAGUUCUACAUGCAAAUCUGUAGCCCAGUCAGAAGACCUGAAAUGUGAAGUCCUCCAUUUUCAGAUGGCAUCUUUCUCUGAACAAGAAAAACAUUGCAGUGACCCACCCUGGACUUUUUGAGCAGGCCCUUGUGUGGAAGUGUUCUGAGCCUGCCAACGCAUCCAGCUGAUGGGCUGUCAGCUCUGCGUGCUCCUUGCCUUUGUCUGUUCCAGCCAGAGCCACGCUAUGGAUCCAAUGCCAGUGGAACAGCUUGUCCUGCUCGCGGCUGCACCAUUAUUGCAGGAUCGACAGGGUCUGCAAGACAGGGGUGGACGUUUGAGCAGCAGUUUCUGUCCUUUGGAGGGCAAGGGCAGCAGGCUAUCGGGGCUGUCGAAGGGGCGUCGUUAGGUGCCCUCCACAACAGGUUUCAUGACUUCGUAGGACUGUGUCCAGAGUGUUUGCUGAUCGGGACUGGGGCACGUGUGUAAAGGAGUGAGCGCUGGCGAGGGAAACUUGCAUAGCGUCUGCGGUCACUGUGCCCAACUCUGCCCAGUGCUAUGGGCGAGCAGGUUCCUUAUCUCUAAAAGUCAGCCCCUGAAAAUAAACACAUUCUGCUUCACCAUCA